AUUGAACGCUGGCGACAUGCCUUACACAUGCAAGUCGAACGGCAGCACGGGUGCUUGCACCUGGUGGCGAGUGGCGAACGGGUGAGUAAUACAUCGGAACAUGUCCUGUAGUGGGGGAUAGCCCGGCGAAAGCCGGAUUAAUACCGCAUACGAUCUACGGAUGAAAGCGGGGGACCUUCGGGCCUCGCGCUAUAGGGUUGGCCGAUGGCUGAUUGGCUAGUUGGUGGGGUAAAGGCCUACCAAGGCGACGAUCAGUAGCUGGUCUGAGAGGACGACCAGUCACACUGGGACUGAGACACGGCCCAGACUCCUACGGGAGGCAGCAGUGGGGAAUUUUGGACAAUGGGCGAAAGCCUGAUCCAGCAAUGCCGCGUGUGUGAAGAAGGCCUUCGGGUUGUAAAGCACUUUUGUCCGGAAAGAAAUCCUUGGCCCUAAUACGGUCGGGGGAUGACGGUACCGGAAGAAUAAGCACCGGCUAACUACGUG
rnacentral:rRNA from 1 species